rnacentral:rRNA from 1 species
GGCUCAGUAGGUUGGUCGUGCCACCGGUACGUACUGGUCUCACUGAUUCCUCCUUCCUGUAGAACCGUAAUGCCAUUAAUUUGGUGUUGCGGGGAAACAGGACUGUUACUUUGAAAAAAUUAGUGUGUUUAAAGCAAGCUAACGCUUGAAUACAUUAUCAUGGAAUAAUGAAAUAGGACGAUCGAUCCUAUUUUGUUGGUUUCUAGGAUUGACGUA